CGAAGGUGGCAAGCGUUGUUCGGAUUUACUGGGCGUACAGGGAGCGUAGGCGGUUGGAUAAGCCCUCCGUGAAAUCUCCAGGCUUAACCUGGAAAGUGCAGAGGGGACUGUUCAGCUAGAGGAUGGGAGAGGAGCGCGAAAUUCCCGGUGUAGCGGUGAAAUGCGUAGAGAUCGGGAGGAAGGCCGGUGGCGAAGGCGGCGCUCUGGAACAUUUCUGACGCUGAGGCUCGAAAGCGUGGGGAGCAAACAGGAUUAGAUACCCUGGUAGUCCACGCCUUAAACGAUGGAUACUAAGUGUCGGCGGGUUACCGCCGGUGCCGCAGCUAACGCAGUAAGUAUCCCGCCUGGGAAGUACGGCCGCAAGGUUG
rnacentral:rRNA from 1 species